AGGGUGAACGCUGGCGGCGUGCUUAAGACAUGCAAGUCGAACGACCUGGCUUGCCAGGUAGUGGCGCACGGGUGAGUAACGCGUAACUGACCUACCCCGAAGUCUGGAAUAACUGGUCGAAAGGUCAGCUAAUACCGGAUACCCAGAUGACUCGUGAGUCAUCUGGAAAGAUUUAUUGCUUUGGGAUGGGGUUACGUUCCAUCAGCUAGUUGGUAGGGUAAAGGCCUACCAAGGCGACGACGGAUAGCCGGCCUGAGAGGGUGGCCGGCCACAGGGGGCACGUGAGACACGGGGCCCCCACUCCUACGGGAGGCAGCAGUUAGGAAUCUUCCACAAUGGGCGAAAGCCUGAUGGAGCGACGCCGCGUGAGGGAUGAAGGUUUUCGGAUCGUAAACCUCGUGAAUCAGGGACGAAAGGCGACUUUAAGCGAGAUGACGGUACCUGAGUAAUAGCACCGGCUAACUCCGUGCCAGCAGCCGC
rnacentral:rRNA from 1 species